rnacentral:rRNA from 1 species
CCUACGGGUGGCAGCAGUGGGGAAUAUUGGACAAUGGGGGGAACCCUGAUCCAGCCAUGCCGCGUGUGUGAAGAAGGCCCUCGGGUUGUAAAGCACUUUCAGUGAGGAAGAACGCCUGGUGGUUAAUACCCAUCAGGAAAGACUUCACUCACAGAAGAAGCACCGGCUAACUCCGUGCCAGCAGCCGCGGUAAUACGGAGGGUGCGAGCGUUAAUCGGAAUUACUGGGCGUAAAGCGCGCGUAGGUGGCUUGAUAAGCCGGUUGUGAAAGCCCCGGGCUCAACCUGGGAACGGCAUCCGGAACUGUCAAGCUAGAGUGCAGGAGAGGAAGGUAGAAUUCCUGGUGUAGCGGUGAAAUGCGUAGAGAUCGGGAGGAAUACCAGUGGCGAAGGCGGCCUUCUGGACUGACACUGACACUGAGGUGCGAAAGCGUGGGUAGCAAACAGGAUUAGAUACCCCUGUAGUC